AACGAACGCUGGCGGCAGGCUUAACACAUGCAAGUCGAACGCAUCCUUCGGGGUGAGUGGCAGACGGGUGAGUAACGCGUGGGAACGUGCCCUUCAGUUCGGGAUAACCCAGGGAAACUUGGGCUAAUACCGGAUACGUGCGAGAGCAGAAAGAUUUAUCGCUGAAGGAUCGGCCCGCGUCUGAUUAGCUAGUUGGUGGGGAAAUGGCCCACCAAGGCGACGAUCAGUAGCUGGUCUUAGAGGAUGAUCAGCCACAUUGGGACUGAGACACGGCCCAAACUCCUACGGGAGGCAGCAGUGGGGAAUAUUGGACAAUGGGCGCAAGCCUGAUCCAGCCAUGCCGCGUGAGUGAUGAAGGCCUUAGGGUUGUAAAGCUCUUUCGUCCGGGACGAUAAUGACGGUACCGGAAGAAAAAGCCCCGGCUAACUUCGUGCCAGCCGCCGCCGUAA
rnacentral:rRNA from 1 species